rnacentral:rRNA from 1 species
GUUGUAACGAAGUAGCAGUACUUAGUGGCAGACGGGUGAGUAACAUGUAGGUAUCUGCCCUUUGGCCGUGGUAAUAACACGAGGAAACUUGUGCUAAUACCGGAUAAGUCUUUACGGAGAAAGCUUUAUGCACCAUUGGAUGAGCCUGCACUUGAUUAGUUUGUUGGUGGGGUAAUGGCCUACCAAGACUGUGAUCAAUAGCUGAUUUGAGAGGAUGAUCAGCCACAUUGGGACUGAGACACGGCCCAAACUCCUACGGGAGGCAGCAGUGGGGAAUCUUGCACAAUGGAGGAAACUCCGAUGCAGCGAUGCCGCGUGAGUGAAGAAGGCCCUUGGGUUGUAAAGCUCUUUCGUCGGGGAAGAAAAUGACUGUACCCGAAUAAGAAGGUCCGGCUAACUUCGUGCCAGCAGCCGCGGUAAUACGAAGGGACCUAGCGUAGUUCGGAAUUACUGGGCUUAAAGAGUUCGUACGUGGUUGAAAAAGUUAGUGGUGAAAUCCCAGAGCUUAACUCUGGAACUGCCAUUAAAAACUUUUCAGCUAGAGUAUGAUAAGAGGAAAGCAGAAUUUCUAGUGUAGAGGUGAAAUUCGUAGAUAUUAGAACAGAAUACCAAUUGCGAAGGCAGCUUUCUGGAAUCAUUUACUGACACUGAGGAACGA